GGCAGUUCUCAGGUGACGCACCCCAGAAUUGGGCUCCCUCCUCUCUGGUUCCAGGUGUGUCACCUGAGAACCGCC
rfam:Myotis davidii contig107459, whole genome shotgun sequence.